UGUUUUCCUUGGCUUCCACUGCAAAACUACCACUUAAAGAUUCGCACUAAAAUCUAAAAGAACCUCAAAGUUCGCCAAAAAACAGAAAGAAAUGCAGAACUCAAAAAAUACGAAAGCUGAAGCUAAACAAAAAAAAAUUGGUCAAAAUAGGCUACAGCAACCUUGUAAACUACAUCAAACUCAAGAUAAGCACUCAAGUUGAACUUGCAUCAGAAAAUGCGAAAUUCUAGAACCAUGACCUGGGAAUUUCAUCAAACAUGUAAUUUGCAAUGAACAAAUCACCUCUUGAAGCUAACAAAUUGUCUGAGUGGUUGAAGUUGUGCACAAAAUGCAGCACAGCUAGCCAUAAUUCAACAGCCUAAAAAGGAACAACUUCAUCAGAGAAAUUCCAAAUGAAUUGGAGAGUUAUCUUGAUAAGUGACAACAAUUUCGAUGGCUAUUGUCCUCACAUCGUUCAUACUGUUCAAAACUUAAUAGUUCUUAAUUUGGGAAGUAACAGAUUCAAGGAAAGAUCCCUCAAUUCAUUGGAGACCUCAAAAACCUUUCAUGUUCUCGAGUUAGAACCAAAUUCCUUCAAUGCUUCAAUCUUUUAAACAUAAACAAGCUAGAGCUGCGAGGUAUAAACUUCAUUGGUAAUCAAUUGAAAAGCUAUGUUUUGAAGUUGUUUGAUAACCAGACCAAUAGAUGAUAACCUUCUUGGCCAAAGGAUGUUUGCAACAUCUUGAGGUGGUUCGAUAUAAUUGUGGCAUAAGCAUAGACCUCUCCUGCAACAAUUCGUCAGGAAGCCUUUUCGUCUCAAUUAGACCUUUUAAAGGGACUUCUUAAUCUUUCACAUUAUGCCCUGUUUGGUUAGAUCCCACCAUGCAUCGGAAACGUGAGCAGCUUGGAGUCGUUAGACUUUAGUUUCAACAAUUUCAGUGCAGAGAUCUCAACAACAUUAGCUGUUGGAUUCACUCUCUACUUUAAGCUUGUCCAGCAACUUCAGUGGAAAAAUUCCUAUAGGGUCACACUUUGACACAUUGAGCAUAGAUGGGUUGGCAUAAAUUCAAGAUGAAGUUUUAUGUGGAGCUCCUGAUGGUAACGUUUGUGACAGCAAUUGUAUUUUGGUUCUAGAAUCUACCAAUUGCAGGCCAUAGACUUAGUUCCAGAAGCUACCAAGUGUUAAGCUGCUAGAUAGAAUCUUUGUCAAAAUUGCUUAAAUGAAAUUUUCGGAUAAAAAUAAUGGCCUAGUAGGAUUGAAGUUUUAAUUUCCUUUGUUUCCAAGAUUUAAAAUUUUCCUUUUUUACUUGCAGCUGCAGGUGCUAGUUAAAAGAAGCCCAAGUCAGGUGACAAGAUCACAUCUCUUUAGAUUUCAGAAGCUGGUAUCUUUUGUUUGGAAGCAAAGCUAUAGAUCUUUACCGAAAGUCAUACUGGUCUGUGGUCGGAUUUCAGAUGGCAUUGGAAACAAUUAUUCAAAUGUUUCUGGAUAUUCUCUAGCUUAGUAGUCCACUCUCUACAGCUGCUCCAUUGUAGAUCAGGAGGCAGUCGGUAACUAGGUCGAGGUGUCCUCGUAGAUUCGACUCUUGGUAGGUGUCUCGACAUUCAGUAGCUAUACUUUCACCCGAGUCUCUCUGUUGGAAGUCGAGUACUCUUUUGUUGUGUAUAGACAAAACCCAUGUAAAUUAUUAAGACAU
rnacentral:sRNA from 1 species